UUAGUGAUGCACAUGAAUGGAUUAACUAGAUUCCCACUAUCCCUAUCUACUAUCUAGUGAAAACACAACCAAGGGAAUGGGCUUGGCAUAAUCAACACGGAAAUAAGAUCUUGUUGAUAUUGACUCUAGUCCGACUUUGUGAAAUGAAUUGAGAGUUGUAGAAUGAUCCAGAUUAUUUUUGGCACAAAAUGAGAGCGGAGAUAUAACACAAAAAUAUUCAGAGAUAUUGCAAGAGAGACAAAAAUAUAACAAUGAUAUAUCAUAAAUAUAACAAGAGU
rnacentral:ncRNA from 1 species